ensembl:lncRNA
UUCCUGCCAAGGCAGCAGCUACUCUUUCCUGGGGUUUAUUAUGGAUCCCCAUUAGUUCCUGCCAAGGCAGCAGCUACUCUUCCUGGGGUUUAUUAUGGAUCCCCAUUAGUUCCUGCCAAGGCAGCAGCUACUCUUCCUGGGGUUUAUUAUGGAUCCACAUUAGUUCCUGCCAAGGCAGCAGCUACUCUUCCUGGGGUUUAUUAUGGAUCCCCAUUAGUUCCUGUCAAGGCAGCAGCUACUCUUCCUGGGGUUUAUUAUGGAUCCCCAUUAGUUCCUGUCAAGGCAGCAGCUACUCUUCCUGGGGUUUAUUAUGGAUACCCAAUAGUUCCUGCCAAGGCAGCAGCUACUCUUCCUGGGGUUUAUUAUGGAUCCCCAUUAGUUCCCGCCAAGGCAACAGCUACUCUUCCUGGGGUUUAUUAUGGAUCCCCAUUAGUUCCUGCCAAGGCAGCAGCUACUCUUCCUGGGGUUUAUUAUGGAUCCCCAUUAGUUCCUGCCAAGGCAGCAGCUACUCUUCCUGGGGUUUAUUAUGGAUCCCCAUUACUUCCUGCAAAGGCAGCAGCUACUCUUCCUGGGGUUUAUUAUGGAUCCCCAUUAGUUCCUGCCAAGGCAGCAGCUACUCUUCCUGGGGUUUAUUAUGGAUCCCCAUUACUUCCUGCAAAGGCAGCAGCUACUCUUCCUGGGGUUUAUUAUGGAUCCCCAUUAGUUCCUGCCAAGGCAGCAGCUACUCUUCCUGGGGUUUAUUAUGGAUCCCCAUUAGUUCCUGCAAAGGCAGCAGCUACUCUUCCUGGGGUUUAUUAUGGAUCCCCAUUAGUUCCUGCCAAGGCAGCAGCUACUCUUCCUGGGGUUUAUUAUGGAUACCCAAUAGUUCCUGCCAAGGCAGCAGAUACUCUUCCUGGGGUUUAUUAUGGAUCCCCAAUAGUUCCUGCCAAGGCAGCAGCUACUCUUCCUGGGGUUUAUUAUGGAUACCCAAUAGUUCCUGCCAAGGCAGCAGAUACUCUUCCUGGGGUUUAUUAUGGAUCCCCAAUAGUUCCUGCCAAGGCAGCAGAUACUCUUCCUGGGGUUUAUUAUGGAUCCCCAUUAGUUCCCGCCAAGGCAACAGCUACUCUUCCUGGGGUUUAUUAUGGAUCCCCAUUAGUUCCUGCCAAGGUAGCAGCUACUCUUCCUGGGGUUUAUUAUGGAUCCCCAUUAGUUCCUGCCAAGGCAGCAGCUACUCUUCCUGGGGUUUAUUAUGGAUCCCCAUUAGUUCCUGCCAAGGCAGCAGCUACUCUUCCUGGGGUUUAUUAUGGAUCCCCAUUAGUUCCUGCCAAGGCAGCAGCUACUCUUCCUGGGGUUUAUUAUGGAUCCCCAUUAGUUCCUACAGCAGCUACUCUUCCUGGGGUUUAUUAUGGAUCCCCAUUAGUUCCCGCCAAGGCAACAGCUACUCUUCCUGGGGUUUAUUAUGGAUCCCCAUUAGUUCCUGCCAAGGUAGCAGCUACUCUUCCUGGGGUUUAUUAUGGAUCCCCAUUAGUUCCUGCCAAUGCAGCAGCUACUCUUCCUGGGGUUUAUUAUGGAUCCCCAUUAGUUCCUGCCAAGGCAGCAGCUAGUCUUCCUGGGGUUUAUUAUGGAUCCCCAUUAGUUCCUGCCAAGGCAGCAGCUACUCUUCCUGGGGUUUAUUAUGGAUCCCCAUUAGUUCCUGCCAAGGCAGCAGCUACUCUUCCUGGGGUUUAUUAUGGAUCCCCAUUAGUUCCUGCCAAGGCAGCAGCUACUCUUCCUGGGGUUAAUUAUGGAUCCCCAUUAGUUCCUGCCAAGGCAGCAGCUACUCUUCCUGGGGUUUAUUAUGGAUCCCCAUUAGUUCCUGCAAAGGCAGCAGCUACUCUUCCUGGGGUUUAUUAUGGAUCCCCAUUAGUUCCUGCCAAGGCAGCAGCUACUCUUCCUGGGGUUUAUUAUGGAUACCCAAUAGUUCCUGCCAAGGCAGCAGAUACUCUUCCUGGGGUUUAUUAUGGAUCCCCAAUAGUUCCUGCCAAGGCAGCAGCUACUCUUCCUGGGGUUUAUUAUGGAUCCCCAUUAGUUCCUGCCAAGGCAGCAGAUACUCUUCCUGGGGUUUAUUAUGGAUCCCCAAUAGUUCCUGCCAAGGCAGCAGAUACUCUUCCUGGGGUUUAUUAUGGAUCCCCAAUAGUUCCUGCCAAGGCAGCAGCUACUCUUCCUGGGGUUUAUUAUGGAUCCCCAUUAGUUCCUGCCAAGGCAGCAGAUACUCUUCCUGGGGUUUAUUAUGGAUCCCCAAUAGUUCCUGCCAAGGCAGCAGCUACUCUUCCUGGGGUUUAUUAUGGAUCCCCAUUAGUUCCUGCCAAGUAUGUCACAACAAGCUUGGCACACCUGUAUUUGGGGAGUUUCUCUCAUUCUUCUCUGCAGAUCCUCUCAAGCUCUGUCAGGUUGGAUGGGCACCGUUGCUGCACAGCUAUUUUCAGGUCUCUCAAGAGAUGUUCGUUCGGGUUCAAGUCUGGGCUCUGGCUGGGCCACUCAAGGUCAUUCAGAGACUUAUCCCAAAGCUACUCCUGCGUUGCCUUGGCUGUGUGCUUAGGUUCAUUUUCUUGUUGGAAGGUGAACCUUCACCCCAGUCUGAGGUCCUGA